GACGAACGCUGGCGGCGUGCCUAAUACAUGCAAGUCGAGCGGACGAAUCGAAAGCUUGCUUUUGAUUCGUUAGCGGCGGACGGGUGAGUAACACGUGGGCAACCUGCCCUGUAGACGGGGAUAACACCGAGAAAUCGGUGCUAAUACCGGAUAACACGAAAUGUCGCAUGACGCUUCGUUGAAAGACGGCGCAAGCUGUCGCUACAGGAUGGGCCCGCGGCGCAUUAGCUAGUUGGUGAGGUAACGGCUCACCAAGGCGACGAUGCGUAGCCGACCUGAGAGGGUGAUCGGCCACACUGGGACUGAGACACGGCCCAGACUCCUACGGGAGGCAGCAGUAGGGAAUCUUCCGCAAUGGACGAAAGUCUGACGGAGCAACGCCGCGUGAGCGAAGAAGGCCUUCGGGUCGUAAAGCUCUGUUGUUAGGGAAGAACAAGUAACGCAGUAACUGGCGUUACCGUGACGGUACCUAACGAGAAAGCCACGGCUAACUACGUG
rnacentral:rRNA from 1 species